rnacentral:rRNA from 1 species
GACGAACGCUGGCGGCGUGCCUAAUACAUGCAAGUCGAACGCAUUUUCUUUCACCGUAGCUUGCUACACCGAAAGAAAAUGAGUGGCGAACGGGUGAGUAACACGUGGGUAACCUGCCCAUCAGCGGGGGAUAACACUUGGAAACAGGUGCUAAUACCGCAUAAUUCCAUUUACCGCAUGGUAGAUGGGUGAAAGGCGCUUUUGCGUCACUGAUGGAUGGACCCGCGGUGCAUUAGCUAGUUGGUGGGGUAACGGCCUACCAAGACUGCGAUGCAUAGCCGACCUGAGAGGGUGAUCGGCCACACUGGGACUGAGACACGGCCCAGACUCCUACGGGAGGCAGCAGUAGGGAAUCUUCGGCAAUGGACGCAAGUCUGACCGAGCAACGCCGCGUGAGUGAAGAAGGUUUUCGGAUCGUAAAACUCUGUUGUUAGAGAAGAACAAGGAUGAGAGUGGAAAGUUCAUCCCUUGACGGUAUCUAACCAGAAAGCCACGGCUAACUACGUG